rnacentral:rRNA from 1 species
CAGGGUUAGAUACCCUGGUAGUCCACCCCGUAAACGUUGGGAACUAGUUGUGGGGGGCCUUUCCACGGUCUCCGUGACGCAGCUAACGCAUUAAGUUCCCCGCCUGGGGAGUACGGCCGCAAGGCUAAAACUCAAAGGAAUUGACGGGGACCCGCACAAGCGGCGGAGCAUGCGGAUUAAUUCGAUGCAACGCGAAGAACCUUACCAAGGCUUGACAUACACCGGAAACGUCCAGAGAUGGUCGCCCCUUUUUGGUCGGUGUACAGGUGGUGCAUGGUUGUCGUCAGCUCGUGUCGUGAGAUGUUGGGUUAAGUCCCGCAACGAGCGCAACCCUCGUUCUAUGUUGCCAGCACGUAAUGGUGGGAACUCAUGGGAUACUGCCGGGGUCAACUCGGAGGAAGGUGGGGAUGACGUCAAAUCAUCAUGCCCCUUAUGUCUUGGGCUUCACGCAUGCUACAAUGGCCGGUACAAAGGGCUGCAAUACCGUGAGGUGGAGCGAAUCCCAAAAAGCCGGUCCCAGUUCGGAUUGAGGUCUGCAACUCGACCUCAUGAAGUCGGAGUCGCUAGUAAUCGCAGAUCAGCAACGCUGCGGUGAAUACGUUCCCGGGUCUUGUACACACCGCCCGUCAAGUCAUGAAAGUCGGUAACACCUGAAGCCGGUGGCCUA